AAUUGUCCUCAGAGUAAUGUUGCUGGAGUCAUAUGUUCAGCUUCUUCAAUUAUUAUCAUUGUUGCUGUGGUAGCAGUUGUACUGAUCAUAUUGUCUGCACUGCUAAUCAUUUACCUGGUGAGGAAGAGACAAAAACAAAAGAAAAUCCAAAUCUCCCAUUCAAAAGAUGCAGUUAAUAUGCAAGAUGUGCUCCAUAAUAACCAGAAUGAAGAGAACGCUGAGGAUGACUAUGAGGUUGUUGAUAUGGAUGAUAGUGAUCAUAAAGAUGUAAACUCUGACUCUGAUCAGGAUUAUGUUAAUAUAGAUCAGGAGGACUCUGAACCAGACUACGUCAAUGCGGAAACAGAUGAUUCUGAACAAGACUAUGUCAAUGUCAAUAUUA